rnacentral:rRNA from 1 species
AGAGUUUGAUCAUGGCUCAGGAUAAAACGCUAGCGGCAGGCCUAACACAUGCAAGUCGAGGGGCAGCGGAAGAAGUAGCUUGCUACUUCUGCCGGCGACCGGCGCACGGGUGCGUAACGCGUAUGCAACCUACCUUUAACAGGGGGGAUAAUCCGAAGAAAUUUGGUCUAAUACCCCAUAAUAUUUCAGAAGGCAUCUUUUGAGGUUGAAAACUCCGGUGGUUAAAGAUGGGCAUGCGUUGUAUUAGCUAGAUGGUGAA